AUCAACUGUAAUAGCGAUAAUUGGGUGGUCGACGAUUUGGGUUUUACCCCAGAUGUUCAAUGAGCUUUUGCCUACAAUGCCUUGGAACUCUCUCAUGGAUAGGAUGAUGAGGGAGCUUCACUCUCAGGGGAUUUCUUUUGGACAGAUAGAAGAA